GUUAAAAUGUCUCAUACUUUGGGCUACUGAUGAUGUUAAGGGGAGAUACUUUUCAUUGCAAAAUUGGAGAUUGAGAAUGAGAAACUUAAGUUGGAACAUGUUUAGCUUUCAGAGGAGAAUAGUGGGUUAUGUGUGUGGAAUAAAAAAUUGGCUGAAGAGGCUUUUUUAAGCAAAAGAACUAGCUUCUGCUGUUGUUGUGGAGUUGAACAAUUUGGCUGGUGAAGUGUUAAAGCCCUCCAAUAUUUCGGUUUCGGGUCUUCUAGUCUUCAAAGGCUGUUAUGCUGAAAGUACCAAUGGUAGUUUGUCUUGAAGGCACAAACGUGAUCAGAAAAGAGCACGACUUCACUCUUUUGUUCAACUUCUAAGUCCAAGGCGUUUACCAGACACUAUGUGAAAGAAACAAAGUUUUUAUUUUUAUUUUUUAUAGAAGAAGAAACUAAACUCAAAGUUUGACA